AUGAACGCUAGCGGCAGGCCUAACACAUGCAAGUCGAGGGGUAACAGGAGAAAGCUUGCUUUUUCGCUGACGACCGGCGCACGGGUGCGUAACGCGUAUACAAUCUACCUCUUACUGGGGGAUAGCCCGGAGAAAUUCGGAUUAAUACCCCAUAAUAUGUUUGAUUCGCAUGUUUUAAAUCUUAAAGCUUCGGCGGUAUAGGAUGAGUAUGCGUCCCAUUAGUUAGUUGGUAAGGUAACGGCUUACCAAGACUACGAUGGGUAGGGGGACUGAGAGGUUGACCCCCCACACUGGUACUGAGACACGGACCAGACUCCUACGGGAGGCAGCAGUGAGGAAUAUUGGUCAAUGGAGGCAACUCUGAACCAGCCAUGCCGCGUGAAGGAAGAAUGUCCUACGGAUUGUAAACUUCUUUUAUUUGGGAAGAAACCUUUCUACGUGUAGAAAGCUGACGGUACCAAAAGAAUAAGGACCGGCUAACUCCGUGCCAGCAGCCGCGGUAAUACGGAGGGUCCAAGCGUUAUCCGGAAUCAUUGGGUUUAAAGGGUUCGCAGGCGGUUUAAUAAGUCAGUGGUGAAAUCUUAAAGCUUAACUGUAGAACUGCCAUUGAUACUGUAAGUCUUGAAUUCGGUCGAAGUGGGCGGAAUAUGUCAUGUAGCGGUGAAAUGCAUAGAUAUGACACAGAACACCGAUUGCGAAGGCAGCUAACUAAGCUAGUACUGACGCUGAGGCACGAAAGCGUGGGGAGCGAACAGGAUUAGAUACCCUGGUAGUCCACGCCGUAAACGAUGAUUACUCGGUGUUGGCGAUAUAAUGUCAGUACCCAAGCGAAAGUGAUAAGUAAUCCACCUGGGGAGUACGAUCGCAAGGUUGAAACUCAAAGGAAUUGACGGGGGCCCGCACAAGCGGUGGAGCAUGUGGUUUAAUUCGAUGAUACGCGAGGAACCUUACCUGGGCUUAAAUGCAUAAUGACAGGUCUAGAAAUAGAUUUUUCUUCGGACAGAAUGCAAGGUGCUGCAUGGCUGUCGUCAGCUCGUGCUGUGAGGUGUCGGGUUAAGUCCCAUAACGAGCGCAACCCCUAUCUUUAGUUGCCAGCGAGUAAUGUCGGGGACUCUAGAGAAACUGCCCGUGCAAGCGGAGAGGAAGGUGGGGACGAUGUCAGGUCAUCACGGCCCUUACGUCCUGGGCUACACACGUGCUACAAUGGCGCAUACAAAGGGCAGCUACCUGGUGACAGGAUGCUAAUCUCUAAAGUGCGUCUCAGUUCGGAUCGAAGUCUGCAACUCGACUUCGUGAAGCUGGAAUCGCUAGUAAUCGGAUAUCAGCCAUGAUCCGGUGAAUACGUUCCCGGGCCUUGUACACACCGCCCGUCAAGCCAUGGAAGCUGGGGGCGCCUGAAGUCGGUCACCGUAAGGAGCCGCCUAGGGUGAAACUGGUAACUAGGGCUA
rnacentral:rRNA from 1 species